rnacentral:rRNA from 1 species
CCUACGGGUGGCUGCAGUGGGGAAUAUUGGACAAUGGGGGCAACCCUGAUCCAGCCAUGCCGCGUGUGUGAAGAAGGCCCUCGGGUUGUAAGGCACUUUCAGUGAGGAAGAACGCCUGGUGGUUAAUACCCAUCAGGAAAGACAUCACUCACAGAAGAAGCACCGGCUAACUCUGUGCCAGCAGCCACGGUAAUACGGAGGGUGCGAGCGUUAAUCGGAAUUACUGGGCGUAAAGCGCGCGUAGGUGGCUUGAUAAGCCGGUUGUGAAAGCCCCGGGCUCAACCUGGGAACGGCAUCCGGAACUGUCAAGCUAGAGUGCAGGAGAGGAAGGUAGAAUUCCCGGUGUAGCGGUGAAAUGCGUAGAGAUCGGGAGGAAUACCAGUGGCGAAGGCGGCCUUCUGGACUGACACUGACACUGAGGUGCGAAAGCGUGGGUAGCAAACAGGAUUAGAUACCCCAGUAGUC